UACGAAGGGGGCUAGCGUUGCUCGGAAUUACUGGGCGUAAAGGGAGCGUAGGCGGAUAGUUCAGUCAGAGGUGAAAGCCCAGGGCUCAACCUUGGAACUGCCUUUGAUACUGGCUAUCUUGAGUUUGGGAGAGGUAUGUGGAACUCCGAGUGUAGAGGUGAAAUUCGUAGAUAUUCGGAAGAACACCAGUGGCGAAGGCGACAUACUGGCCCAAUACUGACGCUGAGGCUCGAAAGCGUGGGGAGCAAAC
rnacentral:rRNA from 1 species